rnacentral:rRNA from 1 species
GACGAACGCUGGCGGCGUGCUUAACACAUGCAAGUCGAACGGAAAGGCCCUGCUUUUGUGGGGUGCUCGAGUGGCGAACGGGUGAGUAACACGUGAGUAACCUGCCCUUGACUUUGGGAUAACUUCAGGAAACUGGGGCUAAUACCGGAUAGGAGCUCCUGCUGCAUGGUGGGGGUUGGACAGUUUCGGCGGUUGGGGAUGGACUCGCGGCUUAUCAGCUUGUUGGUGGGGUGGUGGCUUACCAAGGCUUUGACGGGUAGCCGGCCUGAGAGGGUGACCGGCCACAUUGGGACUGAGAUACGGCCCAGCCUCCUACGGGAGGCAGCAGAGGGGAAGAGUGCACAAUGGGCGGAAGCCUGAUGCAGCAACGCCGCGUGCGGGAUGACGGCCUUCGGUUUGGAAACCGCUUUCGCCUGUGACGAAACGAGAGUGACGGUAAUGGGUAAAGAAGCACCGGCUAACUACGUG